GGUGCGGUGCGGUGCGGUGCUCGGUGCUAGUGCUGCUGAUAACAAGUGUUCUCAAAUACUUUUGCCACGAGAAAUAAUAAUUUUACAUGUGUCGUGAUAUAAAAUUCAUUUUCGUAAUGUUUAAGUGAAGUUAGAAAACUGAAAUAAAUCAAUAAUGGAUAAGUCAAAACAUAAAACAGGAAAGAAAAUGGAUAAGAACAAUGGUAAAGAAAAAUCACCUCUUUUUGUGUCGGAUGUCAAAAACUUAAAAGAAAAUCUUAAAAUCAAGGAGAUUUUAAGAACUGUUAAAAUGAAUAGCAGUAUGCGCUUAAAGUCACCACAAUGCAAUAAAACUAUUAACAAUAAAGACGUCAACGACAACCAAGAUUGUUUUGAGAGUGCUUCACAGGAACUACAAGACCAUACGACAGUUGAAUCAAAUCCAAGUGCAACUAACCAUAAUGUCAUCACAUCAACAUUAAAUGUAGAUACAGGAACGAGUGAUAACGAUUUACAAAAAAAUGAGGGCAUCAAGGUCACUAUUUAUGAAGUACCAAACACCUGUACAGAAAGCAAUGACAGUCUAUCGUCAAACACGUUGUCAGAAAAUUGUAAUGACCUUAAAGAAUCAAAAAAUAAUGAAGAAAUAACUGGAACUGAUAACAAUGCCAACGAAGUAACCUCUUCGUCGAAACCAGCUAACCAUAUGACAAAUUUAAAACCAAGAGACAGAAAACUCUCAUUAGAUCAAACAAUUUUAUCAAGACGCGCAGGCUUAUCACAAUCAGAAUUAGAUUUAAAUUUAAUUGGUAAAUCUCCAUUGGAGCGUAAAUCUUCGUUCUUUAGAAAGAAGAUGGACAAUUUUCUGAAAAACACAACAGAAAUAUUUAAAAGACAGUCACAAAGUUUUAAAUCACAACCUACACAGAGAAGGGGGUCCAAGUCGAUUUCCUUACAAUCUCUAACCGACAAAAAUUAUCCUAGUAACGGUUAUAAUAACGACGGCACGUUACAAAUUCCGCAGGAGAUGAGGAACAGUGCAACAAGUCUGGUACGGAGUUCGUCGAUGGCGAGUAGCAUAAGUCCGGAGGGGGUGGAACAAGACAGCCCGUCGGCCAGUCAACCUGUCUUGUUCACAAGUCAGCCACUUGGAGAUUACUCUUCAAAUAGUGUUAACAAUUUGAACGAGCCGUAUGUACAAGAAUCGCUUUUAAAAUCCCGAGCAAUAUCCAUGAGCUCUGGUUUAGACGCCCCGCAGGGGAGACUGCGGCGGAAAGCAUCCAAAUCUAACAGAGUCACGUGGUUAGCAAGCGAAGGUCUAACGAAUUACUUCAAACGUGUAAUGCAAGAUGAGAAGAGUAGAGAGGUGCAGUCAUGCCAUUCGUACCAGGAUUUUUCGAGCAUACCAGAACACGCGUCGUACGGCCCGACAACUGACAGCAAAGGGAGGCGGCUGUCGUACCAACGCGCUGUAUCGGGGGAGGACCCGGUACACCCAACGAGGUACUACGACACAUCACAGAGGAGAAAGAAUUUCAUACCGGAACAUCAAGUGCCAAACACCGAGAUGGAGGCCAAGCUCGACGAAUUCUCAAUAUACGGGGUGCCCCAACUCCAUGGCUUCGUAGCUAUCACCAUCCCGCAGCACGCUAUGGAAUACCUGCGCUGGGCCGAACAGCCUGAUGAAAUACAGCUGUAUUACGAGAGAUGCAAUAUUCCGCCGACGGAUGAGACGCGGCAGGCUGUCCUUCGCGAGCUGAUCACCACUGAGGCUGAUCAUAUUAGACACCUCAAAUCUCUUGUCGAGGUAUUCAUGGCAGCAGCGCACGCUCUUCAAGAGUAUCAAUUUAUGCUGGAAGUGGAUACACAACAACUCUUUUCUAACAUACCGGACUUAUAUAAUGCCAGUCUUGUUUUCUGGAACGUCACUUUCUACCCCAUGAUUGUGGAGAGCGUGGAAACUGGCCUACCAAUGAAACCAGAACUGAUGUACGAAGGUUUCCAUAACAUCGAGGAAUACUUAAAAUCAUACGAAACGUAUCUAUUGGACAACACAAGAGCUGUUGAAUAUCUUCGGUCUCUAAGUAAUCAUUCAGAAUUCAUGACGUUCCAAUCAUGGUGUAAUAAACAGAAGGAGAUGAACAGACUUCAGCUGGCAGACAUGCUUGCAAAACCUAUGCAACGUAUUACGAAAUAUGCCUUAAUGAUGAACAGAAUUUUCGACACUACAGAAAAGGGCGCAGUGCGUGAUCUUGUGUUUUCUAUGGAAACAGCAAUCAAAAACUUCUUGCAGCAUAUCAACCGCCGCAUACGUCAACGCGAAGAAAAAGACAAGUUAUAUAAGAUAACUAAUACAAUAGAGCCAUUUGAGUUGGAAUUCAAAGACGAAGAAAUGGAAAGGUGUUUCAAAAUGUAUUCACAAUUAGAUUUGCAUGCUCCCAUGAUUUACGUGGCACGGUCUGUUAAACGAUGUGUCGUGUACAGCGGGGACCUUCGUUUUAAAGAUAACAACAACAAAGAGAUCGAUGUUCGCGUCUUUUUAUUUACGGACAUGUUAUUAAUUUGUAAAAAGUUGCCAAAAGGCAGUUUUUAUUUGUAUAAAAUGAUAAGACCAAAAUACAUGGUUGAUAGGCUCCACUUCUACCCGAAGUACAGCCGAACCACUAAGGAAGUGGUAGCUUUAGUAUUUGUUGCUGUAGACGAUUUUCAUUCAGCAUAUCAUAGUUUUACACUGUCAGAACCCUCGAAAGAGGAAAAAACGCAAACCCCUCUUAAAACAAGUUUGCUUCUAACUUGGGAUCAAAAAAUUAAGGAAGCCAAAAUAAGUUAUGAACUUGUCAUUAUAUUCGGACAACGAAGAGAAGGCAUGACUGAAAAAGAACUAGAGUCCGCCGAAACCUCCUUAAAAUUGAUGUCUCCAGAAGAAAUAGCCAUCGAGAAGGAGGGUCGAGAGUGGGCAGCCGUGAUGCUGCAUGGCAAAUUGAGCAGGCAACAGGACUACACAAUGACGAACAUUCCCGAGGACACAUACCAAAUAACUGAAGCAAUCCUCGUUGGCAACUUAGAAGCAGCGCGUCGCUGGAGGAAUCCUGUGCUUCGUAGAUACUCCUCCACCACCGCGGGCAGCUCUCGUGGAUCCCGCUUGUCCAGCUUGCAAAAGUCUACCAGUGCGACAUCGCGCGACGAACCGCAGCCAAGCACAAGCAGGGGACCAUAUUACCAGAGCGACUCCAUUGAUGCUCCAUUUGGAAAAAUGGAAUCGGAAGAUACAUUUAAUGACGACAUAUCGGAAGAUGAAUAUGCCGACUCUCCACUACCAUCAUCGCUGUUGACGCCAUUGUUAUCACCUCAGUUAAGCUCUCCCGCGCUUCAGCCUCCGGCUCUACACCAAUCGGUAAUAAGGCCAGAGGUUAUUCACGAAUUAGCACUACAUCCACCGAUGAUACAUGAAGCGAUAACCCAUGGGCCAAACAUCCAAGAACCGUCACAGGCAAUGAUGUUUGAACAAAUUCCUUCAAUGGUCGUGCAGCCUUUGAACCAGCCACCAGCUAUAGUAGAGCCAGUCACGGUAUCUAUAGUUGAGAACCCACCAUUGCAACGUGCUGUUAUUUCGAACCCAUUAGUACAAUUCAGGGCUAAUCAGGUGCACUGUAAUCCAAAACCAUUGUCGGAACUGCACGUAGCUCAGGAACCGAAAAGGCAGCAGUCAAAUGCCCAGCUAUCGAUGGCUGUUGGUAUUCCGAUACCGAUUCCAAUACCAUUCCCGCUACUGCCAAAUUUACGCGGUGACAUCGCAGCUAAAAGUGGCCAUGGUGAGGAGGAUAGGGGAAGGAGGAAGAAAGGUCGUGCAAUUCAUGUUCCACGUGCCAAGAGCGUCCAAAGUGGUCGUGGCGCUCAAAUUCAGCAUGUCCAGCGAUCUAAGAGCGUGCAGAGCGCUCACGGUUUACAGUUCGUGCAGCAAGCAGACCGGAAUCAGAGCGCCAUGAGUGACUAUAGCGUUAAGAGUACCCAAAGUGAGCACGUGGGACAUCGGAAGAAUGGCCGCGGACGUCGGGGAAAACGGGCUGCUAGCGCCAGUCCCAGUACACUGCGGGUAAUCCCGCCAGACGACUUGACGACAUCGAUGCACAGCUUGCCUGAUUUAACAGUAGAACCUCCUUCUCCACGUCAUCCUCCUAGUCCGCAAUCUGCUUCGGAGCAGAUGUAUCAAUCUCAUCAAGAGCAGUUGCAGCGAAACAGGGAGGUAGCGCAGCACCAACAAUACUUGAGCCCCGACCACCGCGGCACCAGCUAUCCCCCUACCAGUCCCAGCAGGCAUGACCAUUUCUAUUAAUUGACUGACGCUAAGUCACGUCGCUACUCAAGACAUUAAAGUAACAUAAAUUUACAGUACCUUAAACUAUAACAGUGCUAUAGUACGUAGAAUGCUUUAAAUAGUGAAUGUGCAAUUUAAAAUAGUGUUUCAAUAUAAAGUCAGUGAUCCAGUAGUACAUUUAUCCAAUAUCAUCAUUAAAUAACUGAGCAAUGUGUUGAACUAUGAAUAAUGCUACGCUCGAAGCUUAAAACGUAUUGGCCAGCAAUAGCAUGCUAAGAAUUAGUUAAGUUAACUCUUCCAGUUUACAAAAUACGCUAGUAGUACAACUCUUGUAAAAAAACUUAAGACUAUCCGGAAUUUAAACAUUUUGACCGUUGGUACACCUUAGGACAAUCUUCUAGUGGUCGAAUUUGAGACGCG